rnacentral:piRNA from 1 species
CUCAUCAGCAAGCUUCAGGGCAGUGGCCGGGU